CUCCGGUUGAUCCCGCCGGACCUGACUGCUAUCGGAUUGGUACUAAGCCAUGCGAGUCGUUGUAGCAAUACAAGGCGGACGGCUCAGUAACACGUAGUCAACCUAACCUAUGGACGUGGAUAACCUCGGGAAACUGAGAAUAAACCGCGAUAGAUCAUUAUGCCUGGAAUGGCUUAUGGUUCAAACAAUUUAUUGCCGUAGGAUGGGACUGCGGCCUAUCAGCUUGUUGGUGAGGUAAUGGCCCACCAAGGCUAUAACAGGUACGGGCUCUGAGAGGAGAAGCCCGGAGAUGGGUACUGAGACACGGACCCAGGCCCUAUGGGGCGCAGCAGGCGAGAAACCUUAGCAAUGUGCGAAAGCACGACUAGGUUAAUCCGAGUGAUUUCUGUUGAAGAAAUCUUUUGUCAGUCGUAAAACCACAGACGAAUAAGGGGUGGGCAAGUCUGGUGUCAGCCGCCGCGGUAAUACCAGCACCUCGAGUGGUCAGGAGGUUUAUUGGGCCUAAAGCAUCCGUAGCCGGCUACGCAAGUCUCCGGUUAAAUCCAGCUGCUCAACAGAUGGGCUGCCGGAGAUACUACAUAGCUAGGGAGCGGGAGAGGUAGACGGUAUUCUGUGGGUAGGGGUAAAAUCCACUGAUCCAUAGAGGACCACCAGUGGCGAAGGCGGUCUACCAGAACGCGUUCGACGGUGAGGGAUGAAAGCUGGGGGAGCAAACCGGAUUAGAUACCCGGGUAGUCCCAGCUGUAAACGAUGCAAACUCGGUGAUGCAUUGGCUUAUGGCCAAUGCAGUGCCGCAGGGAAGCCGUUAAGUUUGCCGCCUGGGAAGUACGGACGCAAGUCUGAAACUUAAAGGAAUUGGGCGGGGAGCA
rnacentral:rRNA from 1 species